CACACUGGGACUGAGACACGGCCCAGACUCCUACGGGAGGCAGCAGUGGGGAAUAUUGCACAAUGGGCGCAAGCCUGAUGCAGCGACGCCGCGUGAGGGAUGACGGCCUUCGGGUUGUAAACCUCUUUCAGUAGGGAAGAAGCGAAAGUGACGGUACCUGCAGAAGAAGCGCCGGCUAACUACGUGCCAGCAGCCGCGGUAAUACGUAGGGCGCAAGCGUUAUCCGGAAUUAUUGGGCGUAAAGAGCUCGUAGGCGGUUUGUCGCGUCUGCCGUGAAAGUCCGGGGCUCAACUCCGGAUCUGCGGUGGGUACGGGCAGACUAGAGUGAUGUAGGGGAGACUGGAAUUCCUGGUGUAGCGGUGAAAUGCGCAGAUAUCAGGAGGAACACCGAUGGCGAAGGCAGGUCUCUGGGCAUUAACUGACGCUGAGGAGCGAAAGCAUGGGGAGCGAACAGGAUUAGAUACCCUGGUAGUCCAUGCCGUAAACGUUGGGCACUAGGUGUGGGGGACAUUCCACGUUUUCCGCGCCGUAGCUAACGCAUUAAGUGCCCCGCCUGGGGAGUACGGCCGCAAGGCUAAAACUCAAAGGAAUUGACGGGGGCCCGCACAAGCGGCGGAGCAUGCGGAUUAAUUCGAUGCAACGCGAAGAACCUUACCAAGGCUUGACAUGGACCGGACCGCCGCAGAAAUGUGGUUUCCCCUUUGGGGCUGGUUUACAGGUGGUGCAUGGUUGUCGUCAGCUCGUGUCGUGAGAUGUUGGGUUAAGUCCCGCAACGAGCGCAACCCUCGUUCUAUGUUGCCAGCACGUGAUGGUGGGGACUCAUAGGAGACUGCCGGGGUCAACUCGGAGGAAGGUGGGGACGACGUCAAAUCAUCAUGCCCCUUAUGUCUUGGGCUUCACGCAUGCUACAAUGGCCGGUACAAAGGGUUGCGAUACUGUGAGGUGGAGCUAAUCCCAAAAAGCCGGUCUCAGUUCGGAUUGGGGUCUGCAACUCGACCCCAUGAAGUCGGAGUCGCUAGUAAUCGCAGAUCAGCAACGCUGCGGUGAAUACGUUCCCGGGCCUUGUACACACCGCCCGUCAAGUCACGAAAGUUGGUAACACCCGAAGCCGGUGGCCUAACCCCUUGUGGGAGGGAG
rnacentral:rRNA from 1 species